rnacentral:rRNA from 1 species
UACGUAGGGUGCAAGCGUUAUCCGGAAUGAUUGGGCGUAAAGAGCUCGUAGGCGGUUUGUCGCGUCUGCUGUGAAAACUGGGGGCUCAACCCCCAGCCUGCAGUGGGUACGGGCAGACUAGAGUGCGGUAGGGGAGAUUGGAAUUCCUGGUGUAGCGGUGGAAUGCGCAGAUAUCAGGAGGAACACCGAUGGCGAAGGCAGAUCUCUGGGCCGUAACUGACGCUGAGGAGCGAAAGCAUGGGGAGCGAACAGG